rnacentral:rRNA from 1 species
GUUUGAUCCUGGCUCAGGAUGAACGCUAGCUACAGGCUUAACACAUGCAAGUCGAGGGGCAGCAUUUUAGUUUGCUUGCAAACUAAAGAUGGCGACCGGCGCACGGGUGAGUAACACGUAUCCAACCUGCCGAUAACUCGGGGAUAGCCUUUCGAAAGAAAGAUUAAUAUCCGAUGGUAUAUUAAAACCGCAUGGUUUUACUAUUAAAGAAUUUCGGUUAUCGAUGGGGAUGCGUUCCAUUAGUUUGUUGGCGGGGUAACGGCCCACCAAGACUACGAUGGAUAGGGGUUCUGAGAGGAAGGUCCCCCACAUUGGAACUGAGACACGGUCCAAACUCCUACGGGAGGCAGCAGUGAGGAAUAUUGGUCAAUGGACGAGAGUCUGAACCAGCCAAGUAGCGUGAAGGAUGACUGCCCUAUGGGUUGUAAACUUCUUUUAUAUGGGAAUAAAGUAUUCCACGUGUGGGANUUUGUAUGUACCAUAUGAAUAAGGAUCGGCUAACUCCGUGCCAGCAGCCGCGGUAAUACGGAGGAUCCGAGCGUUAUCCGGAUUUAUUGGGUUUAAAGGGAGCGUAGGUGGAUUGUUAAGUCAGUUGUGAAAGUUUGCGGCUCAACCGUAAAAUUGCAGUUGAAACUGGCAGUCUUGAGUACAGUAGAGGUGGGCGGAAUUCGUGGUGUAGCGGUGAAAUGCUUAGAUAUCACGAAGAACUCCGAUUGCGAAGNNAGCUCACUAGACUGCAACUGACACUGAUGCUCGAAAGUGUGGGUAUCAAACAGGAUUAGAUACCCUGGUAGUCCACACAGUAAACGAUGAAUACUCGCUGUUUGCGAUAUACAGUAA